rnacentral:tRNA from 1 species
UGGCUCAGAUGGUAAAGCGUCUGUCUGCAAUGCAGGAGACCCGGGUUUGAUCCCUGG